CCGCGGUGCGCACAAAGGGGGUNCGGUGCGUGUCUUGAAUGUCAAAACGACUCUCGGCAACGGAUAUCUCGGCUCUCGCAUCGAUGAAGAACGUAGCGAAAUGCGAUACUUGGUGUGAAUUGCAGAAUCCCGUGAACCAUCGAGUCUUUGAACGCAAGUUGCGCCCGAAGCCUUCGGGC
rnacentral:rRNA from 1 species